GACGAACGCUGGCGGCGUGCUUAACACAUGCAAGUCGAACGGAAAGGCCCUUCGGGGUACUCGAGUGGCGAACGGGUGAGUAACACGUGGGUGAUCUGCCCUGCACUUUGGGAUAAGCCUGGGAAACUGGGUCUAAUACCGAAUAGGACCACGCGCUUCAUGGGGUGUGGUGGAAAGCUUUUGCGGUGUGGGAUGGGCCCGCGGCCUAUCAGCUUGUUGGUGGGGUAAUGGCCUACCAAGGCGACGACGGGUAGCCGGCCUGAGAGGGUGACCGGCCACACUGGGACUGAGAUACGGCCCAGACUCCUACGGGAGGCAGCAGUGGGGAAUAUUGCACAAUGGGCGCAAGCCUGAUGCAGCGACGCCGCGUGAGGGAUGACGGCCUUCGGGUUGUAAACCUCUUUCAAUAGGGACGAAGCGCAAGUGACGGUACCUAUAGAAGAAGCACCGGCCAACUACGUG
rnacentral:rRNA from 1 species